CAGAGGCCUCGAGCGUUAGGCGGAAUCACUGGGCUUAAAGCGUGUGUAGGCGGGUUUCUAAGUACCUUGUGAAAUCCCACGGCUCACCCGUGGAACUGCUGGGUAUACUGGGAAUCUUGAGCCACUUAGGGGCUACCGGAACAAAUGGUGGAGCGGUGAAAUGCGUAGAUAUCAUUUGGAACGCCAAUGGUGAAAACAGGUAGCUGGGAGUGUGCUGACGCUGAGACACGAAAGCCAGGGGAGCGAACGGGAUUAGAUACCCCGGUAGUCCUGGCCCUAAACGAUGUCGACUAGAUCGUGGUAGCUCUGACGCUUUCACGGUCGAAGCAAAAGUGCUAAGUCGACCGCCUGGGAAGUACGGUCGCAAGGCUA
rnacentral:rRNA from 1 species